rnacentral:lncRNA from 1 species
AUCAAUGUCCAAACGCAUAUCACUAUGAGGGUCACCUAUUGAAGGAAAUUCUUGCACAUUAUAAAGUGUCUCAUAUGACACGUCAUCAAUGUCCAUGAGCAUAUACGAAGGAAAUUCCUGCACAAGAAAAUAGAGUAAUACGUAAUAAAGAAAGUAGCCUUUUAAGGACUAAGAAUUUUUUAAAAGUUAAAAGAAUGAAAUAUUAC